rnacentral:rRNA from 1 species
AGAGUUGAUCCUGGCUUAGGAUGAACGCUAGCGACAGGCUAACACAUGCAAGUCGAGGGGCAGCAUAAAAGUAGCAAUACUUGGUGGCGACCGGCGCACGGGUGAGUAACGCGUAUGCAACCUACCUAUCAGAGGGGAAUAACCCGGCGAAAGUCGGACUAAUACCGCAUAAAACAGGGGCACCGCAUGGUGAUAUUUGUUAAAGAAAUUCGCUGAUAGAUGGGCAUGCGUUCCAUUAGGUAGUUGGUGAGGUAACGGCUCACCAAGCCGACGAUGGAUAGGGAACUGAGAGGUUGGUCCCCCACACUGGUACUGAGACACGGACCAGACUCCUACGGGAGGCAGCAGUGAGGAAUAUUGGUCAAUGGGCGGGAGCCUGAACCAGCCAAGUCGCCGUGAAGGAAGAAGGAUCUAUGGUUCGUAAACUUCUUUUGCAGGGGAAUAAAGUGCAGGACGUGUCCUGUUUUGUAUGUACCCUGAGAAUAAGGAUCGGCUAACUCCGUGCCAGCCGCCGC